rnacentral:tRNA from 1 species
UGCAUCGGCUGGGAAUCGAACCCGGGCCGCCCGCAUGGCAGGCGAGCAUUCUACCACUGAACCACCGAUGG